rnacentral:tRNA from 1 species
CAUUAAGAAGCUAAGUCAAGCGUUAACCUUUUAAGUUAAAGACUGGGAGUUUAGAUCUCUCCUUAAUGA